CGCCGACGUCUCCGGACUCCCUA
rnacentral:siRNA from 1 species